rnacentral:rRNA from 1 species
GACAGAGGUGCCGAGCGUUAGGCGGAAUCACUGGGCUUAAAGCGUGUGUAGGCGGAUUUGUAAGUACCUUGUGAAAUCCCACGGCUCAACCGUGGAACUGCUUGGUAUACUGCUUAUCUUGAGCCACUUAGGGGCAGUCGGAACAGACGGUGGAGCGGUGAAAUGCGUAGAUAUCGGAAGGAACGCCCGUGGCGAAAGCGCGGUCCUGGACGCCUGCUGACGCUGAGACGCGAAAGCCAGGGGAGCGAACGGG